GUCUACGGCCAUACCGCCCUGAACGUGCCAGAUCUUGUCUGAUCUCGGAAGCUCAGCAGGGUUGGGCCUGGUUAGUACUUGGAUGGGAGACCACCUGUGAAUACUGGGUGUUGUAGGCU
rnacentral:rRNA from 1 species